UGACCUGCCUUCGAGCGGGGGAUAACGUUCCGAAAGGGACGCUAAUACCGCAUGACAUCCCGUCUUUCAAGAGAUGGCGAUCAAAGCUGGGGAUCGCAAGACCCAGCACUCGAAGAGGGGCCCGCGUCCGAUUAGCUAGUUGGUGGGGUAACGGCUCACCAAGGCAUCGAUCGGUAGCCGGCCUGAGAGGGUGAUCGGCCACACUGGAACUGAGACACGGUCCAG
rnacentral:rRNA from 1 species